rnacentral:rRNA from 1 species
GAGUUUGAUCCUGGCUCAGAACGAACGCUGGCGGCGUGGAUAAGACAUGCAAGUCGAACGGGACACAUUUUAUAGCAAUAUGAGAUGUGUUUAGUGGCGCAAGGGUGAGUAACACGUGGGCAAUCUGCCGAAAAGUUGGGGAUAGCUCGCCGAAAGGCGAAUUAAUACCGAAUGUGGUAAUCGAAGACAUCUUCGAGAAACUAAAGCCGGGGUAACCUGGUGCUUUUUGAUGAACCCGCGGCCUAUCAGCUUGUUGGUGAGGUAAUGGCUCACCAAGGCAAUGACGGGUAGCUGGUCUGAGAGGACGACCAGCCACACUGGAACUGAGACACGGUCCAGACACCUACGGGUGGCAGCAGUCGAGAAUUUUUCUCAAUGGGGGGAAACCCUGAAGGAGCGACGCCGCGUGGAGGAUGAAGGUUUUCGGAUUGUAAACUCCUGUCAUCCGGGAGCAAUGCUGUGUGUUUAACUGACAUGCAGUUGAUAGUACCGGAAGAGGAAGAGACGGCUAACUCUGU